AUGAACGCUGGCGGCGUGCCUAAUACCUGCAAGUCGAGCGAACAGACGAGGAGCUUGCUCCUCUGACGUUAGCGGCGGACGGGUGAGUAACACGUGGAUAACCUACCUAUAAGACUGGGAUAACUUCGGGAAACCGGAGCUAAUACCGGAUAAUAUAUUUAACCGCAUGGUUCAAUAGUGAAAGACGGUUUUGCUGUCACUUAUAGAUGGAUCCGCGCCGCAUUAGCUAGUUGGUAAGGUAACGGCCUACCAAGGCAACGAUGCGUAGCCGACCUGAGAGGGUGAUCGGCCACACUGGAACUGAGACACGGUCCAGACUCCUACGGGAGGCAGCAGUAGGGAAUCUUCCGCAAUGGGCGAAAGCCUGACGGAGCAACGCCGCGUGAGUGAUGAAGGUCUUCGGAUCGUAAAACUCUGUUAUUAGGGAAGAACAAAUGUGUAAGUAACUAUGCACGUCUUGACGGUACCUAAUCAGAAAGCCACGGCUAACUACGUG
rnacentral:rRNA from 1 species